AAGCCUGUGUCAUGUGAAGAAUUGAGCCGCCCUGGACACAUUCCCAUCCCGAAGGCUUAGCUGUGCAAUGAAUGCGAUCAGCCGCUUUCCUUAUACAUGCCUCAGGAAGGAAGCAUCUUGAUUUAAAAGCUGCUUGUGAUGCUGCAUUGGUGAGAGUCCUUUGACCUAGAGAUGCUACACAAUUUGCCAAGUUAGUUGAUGGACUAGAAUCACCAGUAAGUAUCCUGUUUUACUACCUCUAUACUGUUAUUUCUCUACUCUUGGGAAAAAUA
rnacentral:lncRNA from 1 species